AUAACUGUUGGAAACGAUAGCUAAGACCGCAUAGGUGUGAUAACCGCAUGGAGAUGACAUGAAAUAUGCUACGGCAUAGGUAGAGGAUGGACUUAUGGCGCAUUAGCUAGUUGGAGGGGUAACGGCCCACCAAGGCGACGAUGCGUAGCCGACCUGAGAGGGUGACCGGCCACACUGGGACUGAGACACGGCCCAGACUCCUACGGGAGGCAGCAGUAGGGAAUUUUCGGCAAUGGGGGAAACCCUGACCGAGCAACGCCGCGUGAAGGAAGAAGUAAUUCGUUAUGUAAACUUCUGUCAUAGAGGAAGAACGGUGCGUGUAGGGAAUGACAUGCAAGUGACGGUACUCUAUAAGAAAGCCACGGCUAACUACGUGCCAGCAGCCGCGGUAAUACGUAGGUGGCGAGCGUUAUCCGGAAUUAUUGGGCGUAAAGAGGGAGCAGGCGGCACUAAGGGUCUGUGGUGAAAGAUCGAAGCUUAACUUCGGUAAGCCAUGGAAACCGUAGAGCUAGAGUGUGUGAGAGGAUCGCGGAAUUCCAUGUGUAGCGGUGAAAUGCGUAGAUAUAUGGAGGAACACCAGUGGCGAAGGCGACGAUCUGGCGCAUAACUGACGCUCAGUCCCGAAAGCGUGGGGAGCAAAUAGGAUUAGAUACCCUAGUAGUCCACGCCGUAAACGAUGAGUACUAAGUGUUGGGAGUCAAAUCUCAGUGCUG
rnacentral:rRNA from 1 species